AAGAAGGUCUUCUUUAUUGAGAGAAUCCCGACUAAGGACUUCCUUUUGAUGACCAGGAAGUCCUGUUACAGCUUAACUUACACAAGCUCUUCCUUCUCACAUAAAUUUAUAACACUUUAGAAAGCAAACGAGGAACUGUUGUGGCAAUAUAAAAUAUAUUCACUGUAUAGUAGCACAGACAACUUUUGUUUUUCAGAAGGUAAAGUAUUCUGCCAAGCUGGCAGAAAAGGUCCAGGCUCAAAGUUUUGGGUUUUCUUUUUUUUUUUUUUUCUCCUGAAAACAGGGCUAUUUUUUUCAACAGAAGGGAGCUGAUUUUUCCAAUACUGUUUUCACAGAAGGUACAAUUUAUUAAAUGUUCCAAACCUGAUCUGAUAAAACUUAUCAUUAACACAUAUGCAAUUUCAAAGGAAUGAUGAUUUCUACAUUUCAAAGCUCAUGGAAUGGAAACAGAUGUGAUAACUUCAGCAAUUGUAAGCAGUUUCACUUAUGCUGAAUUCCCAUUCAUUGUACAGAAUAGAGUAUUAUUCCAGGCAGGACUCAUCUGAGGUAGGAUCCUUCUGUUUCUGUCUCAGGCAGAUGUUACCCCAGCCAAGUCUGACCAUGCUUUCCCGGAAAGCCAGGCAGGGUCAGUGGUGCAGUGUUCCAUCUGAGCUCAUGUCCAUCAGUGCUCAAUAGGGCUGGUGGGAGCAUGCAGUGUUAGCCUGGCAAAUUGUUCACAACUAGCCCAGGUAUCUCUGCUUACUGCUGCACAGUGCCAUGCCAGGAAGUGUCCCCCUUGGAGGACAGCCUGACAGUUUGCGUUGUGUGGACCAGGGGGUAGGAGUUUGGCCUGAGGCUUCACAAACCUGGACUAUAUUCUCAUUUCUUCCACUCUCAGUUUAUGCUUCCUUCCUUCUGCUUCUUAGUGGGGAGAUUCAUAGCUGGUAUUUCACAGUGUGUUUUAUGCACAUUCUGGUAGAUAAGUUUUUAGCCAUUGACUGAAGUCAAAGCAGGUAAGUGUUAGAAAACGCUUAAAUAAUUCUACCAUUUUCUACAAAAGGUCUGUAUAUAAAACCAGUUGAAUGUUUUCUGCUAAAUUACACAUUUAAAACAAGAAAUACUUUUGUAAACAUAAAUGGAAAAGCCUACGGAAAAAAAUAAGUUGAAAUAAAAAAAUACUUAAAAAAUGCUCAUAAUGUAUUACACAGUAUUGUUUACUAGGAUAAAAAUGCGUAUAGUAUUAUUCCAACAGGCUUUUACAAUAUGCUCUUCUGGCUUGAACAACUGCUGACAUGUCACGAUGUGGUAAAAAAAGUAGUUAAAUUUUUGUAAAGUAAAUGACAGUGGUAAUUUACAACUUGUGGAAAAUAGCUUAUCUUCUUUGUAGACCACAUUCUUCGCUAUAUUUUUAUAUUAAAAUUUUGCAUUAAGAUCUAAAACAAUGUCUUCAUCACUACCAAAUAAUAAAGCCACUUCGUCUUUUUCCAAAUGUGUGUUGUUUUCCUAACUCAUUAAGAAACACUCAUGGAUAAUUUCUCUCCUUUUUUCAUGAACCUAUGUUAAAACCGAACUUGGGGCUCAGGACUUAAUUGCCAGGCAGAGCUGCAAAAGAUUAUGUCAUUAGUUUUAAGCAGUCUUUGAACUCCCAUCCAUCUCUUAUUCUGUGGUCUGGGCAUGUAGAUCAUACUACUGGCUCUGGCCAUGCUUCUGAAGCACGGCAGCAGGAAAUGCUU
ensembl:lncRNA